GAAGGUAUAGCUCAGUGGUAGAGCAUAAGCUUAGCUUGCAUGAGGUCCUGGGUUCAAUCCCCAGUAUCUCUG
rnacentral:tRNA from 1 species